rnacentral:rRNA from 1 species
AGUCACUGACAUUAGAUACCCCCGGUAGUCCAGGGUGUAAACGCUGCAGACUUGGUGUUGGAGGCCCUUUGGGGGCAUUCAGUGCCGGAGAGAAGUUGUUAAGUCUGCUACUUGGGGAGUACGUCCGCAAGGAUGAAACUUAAAGGAAUUGGCGGGGGAGCACCGCAACGGGAGGAGCGUGCGGUUUAAUUGGAUUCAACACCGUAAAACUCACCAGGGAAGACUGUUACAUGAAGGCCGAGAUGAAGACUCUGCUAGAUUUUCAG